rnacentral:misc_RNA from 1 species
CCAGGAAUGUAAAAUAUGUGUCUCACAAAUCAUCAAUGCUUGAUCAAAGAGCUCCCUAAAAGAAAAUGCAAGAUCAAAGAGGAAGGUUGGCGCAAGGAAAUCCUAUAAGAAAAGAAAGGGAACUUUGAAGUUUGAAGGGAUACAAAUAUCAAAUUAACUUGAAACCCUAAGAAUAUGGUGGCAAGAAUGAAGAAAAGGAGGAUGAUAAUUGAGGAGAGAAAAAGUUACAUGCAAUACAGAAACUAAAAUCUUUACUCAGGAAUUUGGAUUUGAUCAUCUUUCAAUGCUCAAAGCCCAACACAUUGUCAUAUUUUUGCAGCAAGGAUAAGCAAUGAUAAAGAACUAGCUCAGCCAGCGUAUAUAAAAUUAAUCAGCCAAUGGCAUUAUAUAUAUUCAUAAUUAAAUUAACAAGCUAGAAAGGAACAUUCUUGCAUUUUAAUCAUAUUACAAAUUACGUCGAUAUAUCUUAAUUAUAAAUAUAAAUAAAAAAAAGCAAGAAGCAUAGCUUUAAUAGUCAUGGCGUGUAAAUCUUGGAAAGAGCUUGUAAAACAUUAACUUGCAACCUUAAAUGCAAUAUAUAAUCCGCCGUCCUCGACAAAAGCCGAUCCGGCUUCAACCCUUGCCCUCCUGGAAUUAGUCUUUGCAACUUCUUCACCUUCAUUCGGACUGAGCCGCGGACAGCUCUCCUCCGCCGCCUCCUCCACUUCACCUUGGCAAAAUCUCUGCACCCGUUGAUCUCCAUUACCUCUCUAGCUAUAGAGAAAACGAAAAGAGACAGCAGGCAAGGCAAUGCCUGCAAUGGUAGUAUUGAAUAAUAUCUAGGGACGAGAGAAACGGAGAGAGUUGUGGAGUUUGAAAAGCUGCAAAGAAAAGGAGAGCUAUAAAAUGAUGAGAAAGGGCAGAGGGUUAUCAGUGACAGUUAUAG